UACGUAGGGGGGCGAGCGUUGUCCGGAUUCAUUGGGCGUAAAGAGCUCGUAGGCGGCUUGCUAAGUCAGGUGUGAAAAUCUCCAGGCUCAACCUGGAGUCGCCACCUGAUACUGGUAUGGCUUGAGUCCGGUAGGGGAUCACGGAAUUCCUGGUGUAGCGGUGAAAUGCGCAGAUAUCAGGAGGAACACCGGUGGCGAAGGCGGCAUCCUGGACCGACAUUGACGCUGAGGAGCGAAAGCCAGGGGAGCAAACGGGG
rnacentral:rRNA from 1 species